UUGCUGGGAUAGGUUCUCCAGCAGCUGGGAUGGCAGUUGGUUUGGAACCCUUGGGAGCUUCUGCAGGUAAGGUCUCAACUUCCCCUCAGAGAAUAAUCAUUGACAAACUGUCAGGAACCAGGUGACAGGAGCUUCUGUGGCUGUUGAGUUCCAGGUGUGUCUGCAGGGAGGACUUUUCAAGCUCCAGGGCUGGUUGCUGCACACAAGCCCAGCUCCCAUCGCAGGGGUCCUCUGAGAGGGAGGAAAAAACCUAUUAAACAGAGUGAGUCCCUGGAGGAAUCCAAACAAGCAGACCAAAUCUUGACUGGACUGGAGAGACAACGUGACGUGGACCAAAAAGGUUUGCGGAAGGCAGCACUUCCUGGAGGAAGCGAUGGCUCAGUGCCAGCCACUGAUGCACAAAGGGAGGAGAUGCCAGACAGUGCCACAGAAGACGUUAUCAAUGAAACAGGAAUAUAUGCCCCGGAUCCAGUGCGUCUCCCAAGAAUUGUUUGCCCCCAGGAUGUGCGCAGGACCUGCAUGAUAGGCACGGUAGUGACAGUGUUCACUGUGCCAGUUGUGCUGAUAGGCUGCUAUCUUGGCAUUCGCAAGCUGUACGAGCUCAGACGGUCAGUUGUUGAUUUCUCUCCACAGUUUUCUUAUAACUCUUAUAAUUCUGCUUCUGGCAUUGGUAGCAUGACUGGGAGUCAUGCUGGUGUGGAGUUGUGGCCAGUCCAUGGUUGUCCAAAUAACUCUGCUGA